rnacentral:rRNA from 1 species
AACAAACGCUGGCGGCGUGCCUAAUACAUGCAAGUCGAACGGGGAAAGCUUUCGGGUGAGUACUAGUGGCGCACGGGUGAGUAACGCGUGGAUAAUCUGCCUUAGAGUGGGGGAUAACUAGUCGAAAGAUUAGCUAAUACCGCAUAAGACCACAAGAACUGCGGUUCAAGGGGUCAAAGGUUUUUCGCUUCUAAGAUGAGUCCGCGUAAGAUUAGCUAGUUGGUAGGGUAACGGCCUACCAAGGCGACGAUCUUUAACUGGUCUGAGAGGAUGAUCAGCCAGACUGGAACUGAGACACGGUCCAGACUCCUACGGGAGGCAGCAGUAGGGAAUAUUGCACAAUGGAGGAAACUCUGAUGCAGCGACGCCGCGUGAGUGAUGAAGGCCUUCGGGUCGUAAAGCUCUGUCGCAGGGGAAUAACACAAUGAAGGUACCCUGUAAGAAAGGAUCGGCUAACUUCGUGCCAGCCGCCGCCGUAACAC